GGGGUUGUGGCUCAGGGAUAGAGCACUUGCCUUGCAUGCGUGAGGCACUGGGUUCAAUCCUCAGCACCA
rnacentral:tRNA from 1 species